rnacentral:lncRNA from 1 species
UUAAUUUUAUCUCUACACAAUUAUUAUUAUUAUAAUCCUCGCAUCUGAAGUUUAAAAAAAUUAUUUUCAGAAUUUAGUAUAUUAAAAAUAAGAUUAAUUGGAGAUGAUUUUCUGUAAACAUAUCGAAUAGCAGAUAUCUAUCCCUUCAUUUGGUUCGGGUAUAAGCAAGAACUAGUUAUACCGGAAAUAGGUACAAGUAUAGGUUUUCGUAGGCAUAAGAAUAUUUUUUAUUUGGAUGAAAAUGUAAGUAUAAGCUGGAACUAGAAAAAUUAUGUUUGGAUGAAAAUGUGAGUAUAAGGGGGAAUAGUUGGUAGUUAUAAAUAGAAAAUAAUGAUAUUAUCCUGAUAAUUGAGUUUAAAUUUUUAAACUUAUAAUUUUAAAUUAAAAAUUUUAACUUUUAAAUUUUAAAAUUUAAAAUUAAAAUUUAAAGUUUUAAUUUUCAAAAUUUUAAUUUUAAAUAUCAAAUUAUAAAUUUAAAACCAAACUUAAAUUUGAAAGAUAUAAAAUAUCAAAUUUAAAAUUUAAAAACUAAAAAUAUCAUAUU